ACCAUCUCCUGUAAUCACGCACCCCAGUUACACUUCAAAAGGAAAAUCACUCAUCCCCGCAGUCCCUCCCAGCCGCCGCCGUGCCACCCAGGGUUCAGGCAGGAGCCGCCGCGCCCCCGGCCUUGUGCCGCCCGCAGCAUGCCGCGCCGCCGUGCCACGAGGGAGCAGGAGGCCCCGUGACCUCGGAAUCCUGCCUGCCAUGCUGCGCGCCGCGUCGCCGAGGGAGCAGGAGCCGCCGCCGCCGCCCUUCAUCACGUCCUCCGCCUCCCUCACUCCGUCGCCGCGAGCUACCUCACCCGCCAGAUCCACUCGAUCUAGACAAGCCGCUACCACAUCUUGCUCAAGGGAACUGGACUGCGUGUAAUCCUCCUCUGCCACGCCCCACUCCUCACAUGGCGUUCACUGCCUAGAUGCGACCACCGCCGAUCCACUCCAUGCGCGGACGCGCCAACCUUAACACCAUCUCCAUCCACUUGACGACGUACUCAUCGCAUGGGCGCCCACCACGAUCUGGAUGUCACACCACCUCAGGUUAUUAUGUUCAUCAAGCAUUUUCAGGUUUGAUCUGAGCGUAUCUGGAGGUGUGCUAAAGACUGAAGCAUCACCACCGUUGUUUCCUCGUGCACCGCAGGCGCUCAUCGACAUGCAAUCUUUUUUUUUGCUGGGGACCCAGAAUCUGGAGCUCGCGUGUACGUUAUUUUUCUCAAUGAGAACCAUGUUGAAUUAGAUUACUUGAAAUCUUGGUUUUGGCCAUGUACGUGCAGUUCCACCGGUUGUUUAUAAAUAGAAAACUGAGGUGGGUUGUGAUUUCUGAAUCUGGUGAGGGAAUUAGCAAAACUUCAGAGGAAGUAGGAGACUGUGUUUUAAGUAUACAGCCAUCAACCUGAUCGAUAUGUUCCUCCUUGCAUUUUCGGUUAAACAUUGUCAAGCACUGUAAGCAGAAAUAAUUAUUUGAUAGAAAAUGUUCAUUAUACAGAAAGUAGCAGAUGAUGUUUUAACCUUACUAUUGGGGCAUAUGAAACAUAAAUUAUCUGAAAAGUGCUACCUGGCAGUGUUCAAGAACAGUUAGCAAAGGACGUACAACUUUCAGAUUCCAUUUCAGAGAAACAGGCAUAAUUUUUUUUCAGAGUGCAAGCUUUAUCCUGCAGAUGCCUAAAUACAAUCAAUUUACCCCCUGUAAGUGCAUCCAAUUUGAUGUUCUUGUCAGUUGUAUUAUUUAGUGGGUGCGGGCUUCUAGCACCAAUAUAGUUCCUUAAAUGGUGAUCUAUCUUGCCGUCUUGUGACCCCCAGUUGAUAAGCAAUGUCAAGAACCACCACUAUUUCACUGAGUCAAAUUAUCAUUUUGUAGGUCUUAGAAGAACUAGAGUUGAAGAUUUCUGAGUAUACCAAAAGAUGUCAAAUCAACAACAUAUGGUUGAGGAGGUAGCCUCAAAGGUACAAAUUCAUCACUGGAUCCUACUUCCGUAUUCAUACACUUCUAUCUGAAAUUCCCAUGAAUCUCAAGUUAGUUAGUUUGUUCACUAUAUAUUGCAGUAUACUAUUCGACCAGAUUGAGAUUGCAAAAUGGAGGCGUUGAUUCGUUUGGUUUGACUCAUCUUCAUUGGGAAUGACUUGACUGAUCUGAAACUUUUUUUUUGGUCUAACAAAUAUCACAAAUGUUCUCCAGUCAGCCACCUCACAUGCCUUUGACUCCCUGCAAUCGAGACCCCAAGACACUGGUAUCUCAAUCCCCAUAAGUUGAUCCACCCACUUCUUCCCCCUGAUAGAUUAACCUACUAUCUUGUCGAUUUGGUUAUCUGUUUUGAGCAUAUGUAACAUGUUCUGCAGGGCAUUCAGUUUUGAUUUUUAUUUGCAAGUAUUCAGUUUUUGAUUGUAAUUUGUGGGGUUAAUUUCUUGCUGUGAAGAACUGAUAUUCUUGUGAGGAGGAUUAAGUUCUUAGCUUGCAAGGGCUCAGUUUAUGUAUUGCUGCUCCUGGAUAGGGCAAAUCAAGCAUUUGAAUGAUGAGAAAGUGUCUUUAAUAAUUUCGAAUGGUGAUUUGAUUUUCCUCUGAAUGUUUUUUACUUUUGUCAGGCAAGCCUGAUUAUAUGGAAGCACAUGGUUAAUGCUCUAUUGCGGUAUAUGCAUGCAAGGCACUGCUUGGACUUUGGAUUGGCUUGCAUUUAUGGGCAUGUUUUAAAUAGGGAAGAAACCUUUGACAUGGUGCAGGUGGGCAUGUCCGUGGGCACGACAAUAGUUGAAAAAGGAAUGUUCAGGGGUUGUGCAUUAGCUACACUACAAUCAAGUUCAUGCUCCUCCAGAGCUGGCUUCUGGAUACCGUGUGAAGCGCGUUCAAGAUUAGAUAGUGAUUUAUGGUAUCUCCUAUUUUCGUCAGGAAAUGCGCUAUUGUUACCACAGCCGCGCCAGUAUCAAGGUGAUGCACCUUAUGUGUCAAAUGCUUUUAUAUGUCCAGUAUGUAUCGGACAAAACUCUACCAAGAUGAAGGCAUUGCCUUUAGGAGCACUAUGUCCAAUGCAUAUAUAUAUAUAUAUAUAUAU